rnacentral:rRNA from 1 species
AUACGUAGGGAGCGAGCGUUGUCCGGAAUUACUGGGUGUAAAGGGAGCGUAGACGGGAGUGCAAGUCAGAUGUGAAAUACAUGGGCUCAACCCAUGGGCUGCAUUUGAAACUGCAUUUCUUGAGUGAAGUAGAGGUAAGCGGAAUUCCUGGUGUAGCGGUGAAAUGCGUAGAUAUCAGGAGGAACACCGGUGGCGAAGGCGGCUUACUGGGCUUUUACUGACGCUGAGGCUCGAAAGCGUGGGGAGCAAACAGGAUUAGAUACCCUGGUAGUCCACGCUGUAAACGAUGAUUACUAGGUGUGGGGGGACUGACCCCUUCCGUGCCGCAGUUAACACAAUAAGUAAUCCACCUGGGGAGUACGGCCGCAAGGUUGAAACUCAAAUGAAUUGACGGGG